rnacentral:rRNA from 1 species
UACGUAGGGUGCGAGCGUUAAUCGGAAUUACUGGGCGUAAAGCGUGCGCAGGCGGUUUUGUAAGCCAGAUGUGAAAUCCCCGGGCUUAACCUGGGAAUGGCAUUUGGGACUGCAAGGCUUGAGUGCGGCAGAGGAGACUGGAAUUCCUGGUGUAGCAGUGAAAUGCGUAGAUAUCAGGAGGAACACCGGUGGCGAAGGCGGUUCUCUGGGCAUUACCUGACGCUGAGGAGCGAAAGUGUGGGGAGCAAACAGG